rnacentral:rRNA from 1 species
AUUGAACGCCGGCGGCAGGCCUAACACAUGCAAGUCGAGCGGAGCGGCGGACGGGUGAGUAAUGCCUAGGAAUCUGCCUGGUAGUGGGGGAUAACGUCCGGAAACGGGCGCUAAUACCGCAUAAUAUCAGAUGAGCCUAGGUCGGAUUAGUUAGUUGGUGGGGUAAAGGCCUACCAAGGCGCCGAUCCGUAACUGGUCUGAUAGGAUGAUCAGUCACACUACAGCUGAGACACGGUCCAAACUCCUACGGGAGGACGCAGUGCGGAAUAUUGGACAAUGGGCCAAAGCCUGAUCCAGCCAUGCCGCGUGUGUGAAGAAGGUCUUCGGAUUGUGAAGCACUUUAAGUUGGGAGGCGUUACCAACAGAAUAAGCACCGGCUAACUUCGUGCCAGCAGCCGCGGUAAUUC